GAUGAACGCUGGCGGCGUGCCUAAUACAUGCAAGUCGAGCGAACGGACGAGAAGCUUGCUUCUCUGAUGUUAGCGGCGGACGGGUGAGUAACACGUGGAUAACCUACCUAUAAGACUGGGAUAACUUCGGGAAACCGGAGCUAAUACCGGAUGAUAUUUUGAACCGCAUGGUUCAAAAGUGAAAGACGGUCUUGCUGUCACUUAUAGAUGGAUCCGCGCUGCAUUAGCUAGUUGGUAAGGUUACGGCUUACCAAGGCAACGAUGCAUAGCCGACCUGAGAGGGUGAUCGGCCACACUGGAACUGAGACACGGUCCAGACUCCUACGGGAGGCAGCAGUAGGGAAUCUUCCGCAAUGGGCGAAAGCCUGACGGAGCAACGCCGCGUGAGUGAUGAAGGUCUUCGGAUCGUAAAACUCUGUUAUUAGGGAAGAACAUAUGUGUAAGUAACUAUGCACAUCUUGACGGUACCUAAUCAGAAAGCCACGGCUAACUACGUG
rnacentral:rRNA from 1 species